rnacentral:lncRNA from 1 species
GUAUUUUAUCUGGUAACCCCUUGCAAGGAGCCUGCAGACCCCAAGCAAAUGUCUUCCCUUAAUCUAGAAAACACCUUCACCCAGGAUGGGAGCGACAUGAGCCAUCAGGCCUUUUAUUUGCUUUUAAUAUACUUUGGUGUGGGCAUAAGUAUCUUAAAUAAUUGAACCUGUAAUUGCACCAUAAAAACAAUGAUGCUAAUACAAAUAACAGCCAACAAGCAUGGAGCGCGUACUCUAUUGUUGUAGACACACGAGCCCCAGAAAAACUCUGUGCAGAGGAGAAAACUGAGCCACAGACAUGUUAGCAACUUGCUGAAUUAAAGACCUUUUGGUAGGUCUCUGAAACGCUCACACAGGACAAGCAGGUUUUUCCUACGUUUGCACAAAGCUCUGCUGACUGUAAGUCUUUCUCUCUGGUGUAGAUCUAUAUACACACAUAUGUGCAUGUGCAUCCUGCACAAAUAGUGUGUGUGAGAGAGGAAGUAACAGAGAGAGAGACAGACAGAGAGAGAAGGAGAAAAAAAUCACCCUGGACUUAGCUCUGGGCAUCAAAGAAGUGGCUUCAUCUUGACUUGCUGCCUCAACUGAUUGAAGCAAUCCCAAUAAUUGGUCAUGAUUUUUCUGCAAGGAUUCAGCUGCGUAUUUCUUGGUGUGGGGACAGAGGAUGAACCCCUCAGGCUUUCCUCUCACUAUGGUGUCUCUGGUGGGAACAGCUGGGGAUGCAAAGCCAUUAUGAUGUCGGAUAGGAGAGAAACCUGCUGUGCCCUCAGCCCUUGAGGAUUGCUUGGUGAGAAUGCGGAGCCAGGUCCAUCCCAGGAGGAAAAGGCCCAAACUCUAGGCAGCUUCUCCCAGGGACUUCACAGACACUUUUUAUGUCUUGAAUACCUGCAUUCCCAGACCCAAACCCACAGUUCCCAGUUCAAACACCUGGUUCUAGUGCCUUUUCCGCUGCCCAGGGAUGCCCCAGGUGCCACCGCUCCCAGUCUCUCCAAGUCUUUACGCAAAUAUAAAGAACUUCUCACUGGCAGGGAAUAAUUCUUACAAGGCUGUGUGGCAAAUGGAAAGUUUUUUUUUUUCAGCAAAACAAAGAUUCUUUUAACAUUUGUAGAAAGUCAUUCAAGGAACUGUUUCUGAAGGCACUACUUUGGAGUUUGGACUGAGUGUGGGAGAGUGCGGGGUGAGGGUGUGUGGACAACAGGGUGUCUUUGCCUGACAUGAAAAUUUAAAAAACAAAGAAAUAAAGGGGGUACUUGAGGGUGAAAGAUAAACUCACAAACAAGUCAAUAAACUUCCUUUUCAGAGUUACUGAGCACACAGGUGACUUUUACUGAUUUAUUUAUUUUUACUGGCAUUAUAGUUUACUUUAUUCUCCUUUCUAAAUAGUUUUCACAGAAAGAAAAUGCUGAAAAGCAUUCCUUUAUGGUUGCGUUUUUGCUUAGGAAUUCUUUUGAUGCUAGGGGUGGGGAGCAAACUGAAGAGAGAUGUAGGUUUUGUGAUUUUAUCAUUUUUUAUGAUGAUGCCUCCAGGUAGCACAUAUUUAUAUCCUGACACAGUCUUGUUCUUACUUCUGAGUACCCAGUUAACCUAGAGGAGUCUUGAGUGGACUGCAGAUGAGGAGAGCAUGAGGGGUUUGCAAUGAGCCAGGCAGGUGCACCUGAGCAGGCACUGCCCCUAUCAGCUGAUACUCAUGGAGAGGAGACUGGCCUGCAAACCCUCUGCCAGUACUGUAAACCCUACAUGUUUAGGUCUGGUGUGAGUUCUAAGGAAUCUGAUAAAUGCCUGCCUUUGUCACUCUGGCUGACUCGGAUCCCAUGAAGCUGAUGGGUUAGAUGAGUCUGAUCCUGAGAAACACCCCCGGGUGCAGGAAAUAGUGAAAAUCAGAUACGAAGAAGCCACACCUGUGAUUUUAAUCUUUAUGAAAAUAUCAUGCUUCUGAACUUCCUCUUUCAAAAUUCGGAUGACACACAAGUCUAUCGUACGUCAUCUUUACCACUGGAGGGUGGCUUCACGUGUUUAUAAGGAAGCUGAUAUUGUGAAUCCCAACCUCCACCACAACGCUCACCCUUACAGACACACUAUUGCAGGUCUCCGAGGGCCUUUGGGAGGCCCUGCUUCCUGCGAGCUGUCCCGGCAGGACAGAGACUCUUCCCGCCGCGGCCCUGCCAUUCCAGGCUGAGGCUGUGAGCAGCACCAUGACAAGCUCCAGCCGCAGUGGCUCUCAACAGUGUGGGUCUCUGACCACCCGACGAGCUGGAAGUGCAGACCGCUGACCUCCCUUGAGAACCUACUGGGUUCUUGCAGUAGGCUCCUCAGCGGUGUCUAAACACGCCACUCAGAUGAUUCUAUGCACCAUCACAUUGGAAACUUUUUUCAUUGACUGUUACUUAAUGAGAAGACUUCCCUCCGGGAUGGUUCUGAAGCUUCCUUCAUAGGAGCAAGCCUUUGGCGGAGAGCACUGAGCAGACGUGCAGCAUCUUUGCUGGCUUCUACCGAAACACCAUGGAUCCAGACGUGGUUUUGUGGUCCUGCACGUGGAAGCCAGCCCUGCGUGGGGUGAGCCUGGGACUGUGGGCAGAGAACCUCAAGCACCGGGCCGGCACCCAAGUGCAGAGACUGCAUCGUCCCAGCAGGAGGCGCUGCUUCCAGGCUCCCUGGACGGACUCCGGGAGGGCGGCCUUUCCCCCCAGCCCCAGAGGUGGGCCUGCCCUUUUCCGAGCGUGGGACACAGCCCAGGAAAACGCAUGGCUUGUCCUCCAGACACAGGGCGAGUUUGGACGGCAAGACUGAUGGAGAUUGUGGUCUAAAUGCCUCUAACCCACUCCUUAAAAUGACCACCGGAUGUUCCACAAGUACUUGAAAAUGAAUGAAUGGCUUCCCGAGAGGCAGAAGGCAGGGGUGUGCCCUACCCCACGCCGGCCAAGAGUUCAACAAGCAUUGGUUGACAAGUGAAUAGUGAGCACUUGAACCCAGUCACAAUUCAAGAUGAGGGCUCUGCCAUGACGCAUGUGGUCUGUGUCACCCUGCAGUCUCCCUGAGCAGUGUCUGAGGUUCGAGUGGGACCCUACAUUCGUGAAGAGAUUUAUCAUCUCCCCAGGCAAAAUAACAGAUUCUGUCCUAGGUGUUGUGAUGUAACAAUGGUAGCGAUCACAGCCAUAACUUACAAUUAUUGCAUACUUACGACGAGUCCCGCACUGGGCUAAGUGCUUUUUAACUAUGUGAAAUGUUUCUUUCCUUGAUUGAUGCCAAAAUGAAUAAAGAUAAUUUUCUGUAUCUGCUA